GUUUUACUGAAUCUAGAUGAAAUCUUAUUCAAACAAAUAAAUUUAUAUUUAAAGAGAACUUUAGUUAAUAAAGGUUUAAGUGUACUAAUAUUUAGGAUAUGUGAUAUAGUUGAAGUAAUUUGGGAGGUGAGUUGAGGUGAUUUUGGAAGUGAACUAAGGUUUUUGAGUUUGGAAUAAUAUGGAAAGCUUAAUGAAACUCACUUGAGUUAAUUUAGAGAGUUGACAUGGGGAGUUCAAGAGAGCUUAGGGGAUAGUUCUGGUGAACUUGAGGCUAGCUCUAAAGAGAUUAUCCAAGGAACUCAAUAGAGCUCAUAGUAUAACUCAUGUGAACUUGUAUAUGAAAUACGAUUUGGGCAUCAAAAUCAUCAUAAUAAGUAGAAAGUAAGCAUAAUAGAAUGCACAAGAUUUGACGUGAUUCGGCCCUUUAGCCUACAUCCACAAAAGUAAUUUAUCUCAAAUCCACUAUAUAAAUGAAGUUUUACAUUGCUUUACGAUACCAACAAACCAUAACAAAGAUUGUUUAUGAUAAAUAAUAACAAAAAUGAGAUGUGGGUCUUAUGGAGAUUAGAGAGUUUUUUAAGAAAAGAAUAAGGAAAAAGCUCCUCUAAGAUGUGAGAUAGUCAAGAUCUUCCAUAAAGGUGCAGAGUGGAGGAAAGAAACCUUAGAAAUUGAGGAAAAAGGAGAUGAAGAAGCCUUUUAAGAAGUUAGAUCUAGAAAAGACCCUUUUCUUGUGUCUUAAGCUGAAUUUAUAGGAUUAAGGGGCAUUUUUAUUUUUUCUGCCACAUGGAGAUUUUUCAUUAGUGCUACCCUCCUUAACCCUCCUUAGUUGGGGCUAUUUUCAUCUUUUUCUUUAUUCACUUGAUAGUGAGCAAAUAAUUUCUCUAGCCCUCAUGUAGUCUUAACUCUUUGUCAUGUGGUGAAAGCUAGUGCAAUGGUCCUGCUGCUUUUUAGGGGAUAAUUGAGGGGUGUUGAUGUUUCUUUUUUUCAUUGAAAAAGAUCUUGCAUGUAGCUUAAAGGAAAAAAAAAUAUUUAUGUCUUUUUUUAUGACAUGCAGCCCUCAGAUAUGAAGCCUUCAAUUGUCAUAUUUAAAUUUCAAUUUUACCCCUCAAAGUGGUGGAGUUGUUCUCUCAAAGAGUACUCCGGGCUUGCCUUGAGCUAUACUCCAUUCACUCAAUAGUGUUGACUUUUCUUCUCUUUUAUUCUUUGUUGCCUUGUGUUACUUGCCCAUUGGUCUAAAUCAAUAUCUCAAAAUUAUCCCAACUGAUUGUAAAUAUUAUACCUUUGAAAUUCCUAAAAUAAUGGAUAUAUUGAAAUUUCUAAAAUAUCUCUUUGACAUAAACAAUUAAUUAAUGGGUUAAUGAUUUGGUAGUAAAAUGAUAAAAAUUAAAACAUUAAGUGGGAAAAAGUAAUUAUUAGAAAACUUUGAUGGUAAAUGUUAUGUUAUAAAAUAUUAAAUGCUAAAAUGAUACUAUCCCAAAUUUAAUUAAAAGGUAACGAACACAUAUGUUUGUCAAUGCUCUUGCCUCUAUGGUUGCCGACGGGGUAAACAAAUGCGUGAAUUAAAAAAAAUAUAAUAAAUUUUAUUGAAAUAUUGAUUUUGUUUCCAAUUUGAAUUGGGAUAUUUUUGGGUUUAGGUGAUAAUUAUAAGAAUAUUUAUGGGACUUUAUUAAAGUAUAAACUUGUUUAUUCAAAUCAAAUUUUGAAAAGUUAUUCAUUUCUACUUUUCAAAGCCUGUUGUAGAAGAAACCGAUUUUGUUAAUAGUGAUUUUAAUUUUUUAACUAAACAUUAAAAUUAACUUUAAAAUUUUUAAAAUUACUUUUGAGCCUCAUAAAAACAAUCUCAAACAAGCGCCAAUUCCAAAUCCAAGUCGUCUAGCCAUUUCCAUUAGAUCAAUAUUGACCCUUGAUCCAUUCAAUAUGUUUAAGUGAGAACACGAUUUCUAAUGUCUCGCCAUUUGUUUUAUGCAGAAGAUAGAUGAGGUUUUAUUUUAUUUUGUUCCAGACAUUUAAGCUAUGUUUGAGAGCUAAAAUUAAGUGUAGGAUUGGAUUAAUUUUGGGAUAAACUAUUUAUCCUAUAUUUGGCAAGCUUCACUUUAGAUUAGAUUAAGGUAUUAAGUUUGAUUUAAUUCUUAAAUCUUUGGAUUAACAAUCCCAAUUUACGUAUGAAUUUAGUAAGGAUUAAUUUUAAAAAUAAUUGUCUAUUUAAUUAACCAUUACUCGUAUAUCUAAUAUAAUAUUUAAUUUAAUAAUCACUA
rnacentral:lncRNA from 1 species